AGUGAACGCUGGCGGUAGGCCUAACACAUGCAAGUCGAACGGCAGCACAGUAAGAGCUUGCUCUUACGGGUGGCGAGUGGCGGACGGGUGAGGAAUACAUCGGAAUCUACUUUUUCGUGGGGGAUAACGUAGGGAAACUUACGCUAAUACCGCAUACGACCUACGGGUGAAAGCAGGGGAUCUUCGGACCUUGCGCGAUUGAAUGAGCUGAUGUCGGAUUAGCUAGUUGGCGGGGUAAAGGCCCACCAAGGCGCCGAUCCGUAGCUGGUCUGAGAGGAUGAUCAGACACACUGGAACUGAGACACGGUCCAGACUCCUAAGGGAGGCAGCAGUAGGGAAUAUUGGACAAUGGGCGGAAGCCUGAUACAGCCAUACCGCGUGGGUGACGAAGGCCUUCGGGUUGGAAAGCCCUUUUGUUGGGAAAGAAAAGCAGCAGAUUAAUACCCCGCUGUUCUGACGGUACCCAAAGAAUAAGCACCGGCUAACUUCGUG
rnacentral:rRNA from 1 species